GUGGGGGAUAUUGCACAAUGGGGGAAACCCUGAUGCAGCGACGCCGCGUGAGGGAAGACGGUUUUCGGAUUGUAAACCUCUGUCUUUAGGGACGAAAAAAUGACGGUACCUAAGGAGGAAGCCACGGCUAACUACGUGCCAGCAGCCGCGGUAAUACGUAGGUGGCAAGCGUUGUCCGGAAUUACUGGGUGUAAAGGGAGCGUAGGCGGGGAGACAAGUUGAAUGUCUAAACUAUCGGCUUAACUGAUAGUCGCGUUCAAAGCUAUCACUCUUGAGUGCAGUAGAGGUAGGCGGAAUUCCUAGUGUAGCGGUGAAAUGCGUAGAUAUUAGGAGGAACACCAGUGGCGAAGGCGGCCUACUGGGCUGUAACUGACGCUGAGGCUCGAAAGCGUGGGUAGCAAACAGGAUGAGAAACCCUGGUAGUCC
rnacentral:rRNA from 1 species